GCUGGGGUGGCGGAAUUGGUAGACGCGAUGGACUCAAAAUCCAUUGUCCGCAAGGAUGUGAGAGUUCGAGUCUCUCCCUCAGCA
rnacentral:tRNA from 3 species